AUAAAGUGCACCAGCUACGUGUAUACUAAUGAGUUUUUUCUCUCUAACAUGUAAGUUUAGCAACACCCAGUUAAAUCUCCACUUGUUUCUGAUUCCUCUAUCAGAUUGCUGGUGCUUGAGAAACCUCUUGCUACAACAGUUUGAACAGAUCCGGCAGGAGAAGCAGAGAUGUCAGAACAAUAAUAACAAGCCAUUAUUUCAAUAGAGGUUAAACAGAUUUACAGUAGUAAUUACCAGUAAAAGAAAAGCAUAACAAGGGCAAAUAAAAGUGUGUUUCUUCAUGAAGCAUAAUGUAUCUGACCUUCAUGAGGAGUGGCAGAGGCCUUUAAUUUGAAGGACAGCAGUAGAAAAGGGGAUUAAAUCACUUCUUCACUGUUUGUGAAGUUCUGCUUGAAUCUAAUGGUUUUUAAAGGUGCAGUAUUAGAAUAAACUAGGCAGAAAUUUUUGACAUAGAUGCAUAUUCUCAUUUUAAGGGUAGGGAGCCACACUGUAAUGGCUACCAAAAUUACUCAGGAUGGCUUUGAUGGGGAACUGGAAAAAGAAUCUGAAUCUAAGGAUUGUCAAUUCCCAAGUCUCAGACUAUUCACUCUUGAGAGCCUUCUCUCUCCAGAUUGGUUUGUUGACCAGAUGGAAUUUCACAUUUUAAAAAAAUGAAUAUUGUUAUAAAAGGUUCCUCUUUUCCCCAUUAAAAAUAUUAUUAGAUAGCCGAAGCAGCCAAAUGGGAUUUCUGGACAGCAUUUACUGAAAUUCUUUUACAACAGUAUUGCUUAGACUUGGUGCUGUUUUCUUUUUUAAAAGCACGUUUGGUUUGAUUGCUUGAAACAAAUCCGACAGAUGACCUGGAAGACCAAUUUACAAGCCAAAACAAAAGAUGAAUCUGUUAACAAAAGUAUCUCCAGCUGUUUACUUCACUGUGCCCUUGCAUUUUGUGCAUUAAAAUCUUGGCUAUUUUUAUUUGUCUGUACUUGGGGUUUUAUUAUUUGCUACAGUGUUCAGGAUAACGACUACCUCUGGAGAUGUAAAGAACAUAAUAAAGCAGUGGAACCAAUGGGGAUGUUGCCAGAGACUGACUCACUGUAAUUCCAGGGCUGAGGAAAAGGAUGUUUUAUAAUUAGCUCACACUUUUUAUCAAGCUAUUGCCUGCAAAUUUUGAGAAAAUCUGUCAUUCUACCAAAUUAUCUUCUGACAAAUAGAAUGAUUUUUUUUUUUUUUAGAGGUUUCUGGGAGAGUUUAGAAGUAUUCACCUUCAUUAGUUACCACCAAUUAGCUGGUUUUUACUGGGUUUUUUUUUUUACUUGUUUUGGAAAUCUGUGAGUUCCCCAGAUUCCAUGAGCAUUUUUUAGUCUCAUGCAUUUCCUUGGAGGAAUCUAUAAAUUCAAUUUUUCAUUCUACAGUGUUACUGGUCUGAAUAUGUGCUUGUUUCAAUGCAGUUGCGUGGUGGAUUUUUUGAUAAGUUGCAACCUGAUGUCAAAUACUCACUGCAUUGCCGUUUUAAGAAAACUGAAAAGGUAAGACAACCUUAAUUGUGAAAGCUGACUGUUUCUCACCCUUUCUAAGAAUAGGACUUUCCUGGCUUCCCCUUUGUUUUGAAUUACCUCACCACUAUUUAUGUUACUAUUCCUGCUUCCCAUUUUCAGAGAAAUCCUACUUUCUGUUUCAGAGCAGGGCUGUGCUGGUUGGUUCUGCUUCAGGUCUGCAACUAACUGCUAUUUAUAUUAGUUAGUACCCUUAUGCUGUUGCUUAUCCUAUACCAACAGUUUUCAAAAGUGAAAAAAGCAUCUCUGUAUGACAUUUAAUUCACUAGCACAGCUCACGCAUGAUGAAAAGAACCACAGAAGCAUUGCAGGGCUCACCUCUGUGUUUCAUUGCUUGCCAGCAAAGAAAAUCAGCACUGGAGCUCCAUUACAGCUGUGAAAACCUGCAGGUUGUUUAUCAGUAGUGUUUGCUUAACUGUCACUCUGAGCCUUGUUAGUGAGGGACAAGGUUAUGUGUUGCUGGCAAAGUCUCUUCCUUUCCCUGCUCUUCAGAAUAACCAAAGAACAUUUUCUGUUCCAGACCUGCCAGUGUCUUCAGCUGUUUCUAAACUACUCCUCCACUAAUCCCUCAUCUGGGUACAGCCUGACCUAAUUUGCUAUACUCCUGCCAGUUAUGCGUUUCGUAAGGAGAGGUAAGAUGUGGGAUUUGUAUGAAAGGCUUUGUUUUAUUGCACAAGGGUGGAUUGGUUUUCUUUUCAACAAGCCACUUGUUUACAUUUGUGUGCACCUUAAAGCUCUGUCUCUUGAUGCUCAUUGAUUUCUUGAAAACUACUUCUCUUAGGAAUGGGUAAGGUUUAAAGUAAUUUAAAAAGGAAAAGAAGAAAAAAACGCCAACCCCUUGAUUUCUCCUGUUUACACUCUGCUUCCCAAUCUCUGUGUGGUGAUCCUGUGCCAUCCCAGCAGCUUCUCCAUGGUGUCCUGCUUUUUACAGCCCAGUUCCCGAUUGCCUGCGCUGUGCUGGGUCUCCUAUACCCUUGAUUUUGACACGCUUCCUUUUCUCUCCAUUUCUGUUCAGGGCCCUGUCACGCCGGUGGCUUCAGCUCUGCUGCCUUCCCACAGCCAAGCGGCGCCCCGCCCGCCAUGGCCGCACCCGGGUCACCUUUCUCACCUGCCGCCAGCCGCAGCCUGUCGCUUCCCUCUUUGAGACAUCUCCCUGCGUGCCCCGAAGGCAAUAAGAGCCUUUACAUCUGCUUCUGUAUGUGAAAAAUCCUGGGAGAAACUUGACCAUCAUUCUACAGUCCUGAACUGCUAAAGCUUGAAUGUUGAACACUCCCUGUUGUGUUCACAGAACACCAAAACACUGAAGCAUUAAGAUGUCUGUGAUGGAGCUCCCUGCAAUGCAGAGAAGUGGAUUUAACAGCCAGAGCUCUGGAGGCCUGCGUUUCUGCGGCUCACUACAAAGCAUGGAACGUAGGCAGGUAAACAAGUAUUUCAGUAGGAUUCUACCUUCAAAGAAUGAGAUGCAGGCUGUAGGUAGGCAACUUCCAUGUCCAUAAAGAUACCAUCCAUCAGAAGUUGAGGCACAAGAACCUCCACUGACAGCUCAUAGAAUGAAAUACACAGAAUUGCGAUAAGAAGCCAAUAUUCAAGUGAGAUCAGGAAGAUUCCCUUUGGGUACAUACUGAAAAGACAACAAUGACAAAACCUCAAGAGGUCCUAGCCCAUAGUUUGUCUGUAGCUGAUGAUCUUAACACAUGAAAAGCACUUGACCUUGGUGGUUUGGUUGAUUUCUUUUUGCAAACAGACUGUUAGGGUGCAAAGAAGUAUCUGGCAUCACCUUGGACAUAUUUGGAGAAGCAAAACUACAGACAAUCCAUUUUUUCCACUAAGUCACUUCCUUUCUAACUUGGAAGCUACAUGCCAGACACCUAUACUCCACUAAAGACUGCUACCUACUUUUUUAACUAGUUGAAAGAUCAAAAUUCCCUAAAUUGCUUCUGAAAUUUGAAUGCCAUACAGCAAUUCUACCAAAGGGUCAUUAAAAGCAUUUACCUACCUCUUCUGGUUUAACUUCUCUGCUAGUGAAAUCUUUUAUGCAAUCCAGGAAGCAGUUUUCUGUAAUUUUAUUGUAUGUUCCAAGAAACUCCUUGAACUAUAAAUAAAAAUUGGACAAUGAGUAUUAAGAAAAAUUUCUACAUUAACUUUUCUUAUGCACAGCUGCGUGGGCCAUUUGGUGACAGUAACAUUUCAAGAACGAGUCAGUAGAAAAAUUUACUAUUAGUCAGAAGAUGUCAGCACCAAAUGCUGCUAGUAUUCAAAUCAGAUACUAUGCUGUGUCUGUCAAUGGCCCAAAUGUUUAAAUUUUGGUUGCUAUAGAACUAGUCUUAACUCAGGUAACAAAUUUUUGUCCUUCUCCAUGCCGUACACAUUUUACUCUCCGUGACAAAGUAGCCACCACUCAUGAAUACAGCAUCUUACCUGCUUGAUCUGAUCAGCUUCUGAGAUUUGUCCAGCCAUAUUCUUCUGCCUGUGAUUGUGUCACCUGUUCUGAAGACAAAAGUCAAGUUUCACACAAAAAUCAUAUAUAUGAACUGCAGCAUUUUACAACAGAAUGGAAUUUUAUAUUGUGUGUUUAAUGCAACUUUGCUAGCAAACUUUCAAGCCAUCCACUUGAAGGAAAGUUAUCUAUUUUAAAUGCACUCAGUUAAAAAUACCCAGGCAUGAAACCUUCACAGAUACACCUGUUAACUACUGUCCUUUUUAAGCCUUUCAAACAGUUAUAGAAUAAUUUUUUUAAUCACUUUAAAUGCUAUAAAUGCUUUCAAACUCACACAGUAGAACUAGUGGAGUUCUACUGUGGAGUGGGAGGGAGAAGCAAGCAACAAUAUUUUCUAGCCUUAUAGUUUCAGUGACUUUAGAUGCCAUCUGUAAAGACAGUAACGAAGAAAGGCAAGUAUAAGAAUUGUAGCCACUCUGAAUAAAUGCAGCAUAAGCCAGCGUGCAGAGAUGCAGAUGCCUGGUUUCUAUGUAGCUACAUUCUCACCAAACACUUAAACUGGAGCAAAUGUUCUGGUCAUUGAACAUAGUGAAUUAAAUGUAAAAAAACACAGAAGAAUGAGAAUGGCCUUAAAGGAAGUGAAACACACAAAGAAAAAGGGAAGAAUGAACAACCAUGGAUCCAAGAAUUUAAGUGAGCAUCCUCAAGGAAGACUCACAUUCCUAAUCCAACACAGUAAAUAAGGCUUGAAAGCAUCCCUGCUGGUUUCCUAGAAGAAUACUGAAAGAUAGUCUUCCUUUUCCCUUAAUUUACACAUUGUCUAAGACCUAUCCCAGAUUAUAAUGCAAACUAAUAUUACAUGUUAACAAGAAAAAGAUCCUUCAGUUUAAUUCACAUCAACUUGUAGGAGAAAAAUUAGCACUGAAGUGCAAUUUCUUUGUGAAAAAAUUCGUUCAGCCCUCUAGCAAGGGCUACUUACAGUUAAUCCUGUAUUACGUUUUGCCAAAUAUUGAGCAAGACAUUAAUUUAGAAAGCUUAAACUAUUCCAGUUUCUUGGCAGGGGUAAGGGAGAGGGUAAGCAAGCCUUCCGACACGAACAAAGAGACAAUAAUAAUUUGUACAACAGAAAGAAAGCUAAGCAACUAAAAACAGCACUGUGGAGCUCUCACAAGUGCGCACUCUACCAACACUCCCUUCCAGCAGCAAAGGGAUUAUAACAUCUGCUUUUUAGCAAUAUGCUUUGCCACUGCACAGGAAGCCGGUUCAGGGACUGGAGACAAAGAGCACAUGAUAUUAUUAGAUUUAAGAUGCAUACCUCCAUAACCAAGAAUUCGUCGUGGGCAGAUAAGUUGCACAGGUUACUCUUAAGGAGAGCCUAUGGUUGCUUAGAAGGGGCUACUCAGGUUAAUGUACUAUUCUGUUUUAGGAGAAUUGGACAUUACUUCGAUUUGGGAAAACUAAUGAAAAUGGAUGGAGAUCCUGCUUGCCAUUUCUCAGCCUAUUAGAAGGAAAAUCAGUGACAAUUCUAUAAAGUCAGAUUAAGUAGAUUAUUAAACAGAGAGUUAGAAAACACAGACAACAGGAAAGACUUUUGUCCUCUCCCAAACACAGACAGUUAAAGGCUUCAACUGUCAGUGCUGUUUUCUCACACUCAGUAUUGCUUCGUUAUGCUUGUUUGUAACAAACCUCAUCUUUUUGUUGUUCUCCGGCUAGUUUGGCAAGCUUAAAUUCAGAUUUACUGAACUGCAGUUCCACAAAGCUUUUACACUUGCACGUGGGAGAUAGCUCUGAUUUAAAUCAGCACAAAGACACUAUCUGAUUUUAAGUGUCUGAAAGUCUUGUCCCUCUCCAGGUAUUUUACACUUUCCACACAGCUGGCAGUGAAAUGUGUGGCUCUACUGCACCUUUUCAGUAGCUAUAAAUUACAGAUAGUUGCCUUAACAUCUAAAGCUGCACUACCUAAACAUUCCCAGAAUAUCUGGUUUAUUCUUAAAGUCUGUUAAAUGUACCAUUUCAGGUUUUCCUGUUCUUUGUCCCCUUUCUCUCCAGCCUGUGGAACAAGAGAAAAUAGGUGACAGAAGAGCCCAUUACAGGGCUCUGCACCUCAGCUAACACACCACAGAGCUUGCAGAGCUGCUCAAACAACUCCAGCAAGCUUCAGGUUGAAGCCUACAGAGCCUGGAUUACUCUCCUCUGGGCUCAACGUGGUUUGAGAAUUUAGCAUUGAGCUUUUAAACAUGUCAUGAUGAGGAAAGCAGUUAUCUCUGAAUAAACUUCUGUAACAAGG